UUAGAGGAAGUAAAAGUCGUAACAAGGUUUCCGUAGGUGAACCUGCGGAAGGAUCAUUAUCGAAUCGUGACACGAGUUGUUGCUGGUCCCCAAUGGGGGCAUGUGCACGCUCUGUUUACACAUCCACUCACACCUGUGCACCUUUUGUAGUUCUGCGGUUUGGGGGAUCCUGUCUUCCUUCUGUGGUUCUGCGUCUUUACACACACGCUGUAGCAAAGUUUUAUGGAAUGUAUGUCGCGUUUAACGCAUAAAAUACAACUUUCAGCAACGGAUCUCUUGGCUCUCGCAUCGAUGAAGAACGCAGCGAAAUGCGAUAAGUAAUGUGAAUUGCAGAAUUCAGUGAAUCAUCGAAUCUUUGAACGCACCUUGCGCCCUUUGGCUAUUCCGAAGGGCAUGCCUGUUUGAGUAUCAUGAACACCUCAACUCUCAUGGUUCUCCAUGGUGAGCUUGGACUUUGGGGGUCUUGUUGGCCUGUGGUCAGCUCCUCUAAAACGCAUCAGCUUUCCGGUGUUUGGUGGCAUCACGGGUGUGAUAACUAUCUACGCUUGUGCUUGUUUGCCAGAUAACUUCCAGCGAUGGAGGUUCGCUGGGGCUUACAAACGUCUCUCCUUCGUGGGGACAGCUUUUUAACGUUCGAUCUCAAAUCAGGUAGGAUUACCCGCUGAACUUAAGCAUAUCAAUAAGCGGAGGAAAAGAAACUAACAAGGAUUCCCCUAGUAACUGCGAGUGAAGCGGGAAGAGCUCAAAUUUGAAAUCUGGCGUGCCUCUGGUCGUCCGAGUUGUAGUCUGGAGAAGCGUUUUCCGUGCUGGACCGUGUACAA
rnacentral:rRNA from 1 species